GAUGAACGCUGGCGGCGUGCCUAAUACAUGCAAGUCGAGCGAACGGACGAGACGCUUGCUUCUCUGAUGUUAGCGGCGGACGGGUGAGUAACACGUGGAUAACCUACCUAUAAGACUGGGAUAACUUCGGGAAACCGGCGCUAAUCCCGGAUAAUCUUUUGAACCGCAUGGUUCAAAAGUGAAAGACGGUCUUGCUGUCACUUAUAGAUGGAUCCGCGCUGCAUUAGAUAGUUGGUAAGGUAACGGCUUACCAAGGCAACGAUGCAUAGCCGAACUGAGAGAGUGAUAGGCGACACUGGAACGGAGACACGGACCAGAGUCCUACGGGAGGCAGCAGUAGGGAAUGUGACGCAAUGGGCGAAAGCAUGACGGAGCAACGCCGCGUGAGUGAUGAAGGUGUUGGGAUCGUAAAACUCUGUUAUGAGGGAAGAACAGAUGUGGAAGUAACUGUGCAGAUAGUGACGGUACCGAAUCAGAAAGCCACGGCUAACUACGUG
rnacentral:rRNA from 1 species